UGCAGAAUCCCGCGAACCAUCGAGUCUUUGAACGCAAGUUGCGCCCGAGGCCUUUCGGUCGAGGGCACAUCUGCUUGGGCGUUA
rnacentral:rRNA from 1 species